AUUGAACGCUGGCGGCAGGCCUAACACAUGCAAGUCGAGCGGAUGAAGGGAGCUUGCUCCUGGAUUCAGCGGCGGACGGGUGAGUAAUGCCUAGGAAUAUGCCUGGUAGUGGGGGAUAACGUCAGGAAACGGGAGCUAAUACAGCAUACGUCCUGAGGGUGAAAGUGGGGGAUCAUCGGACAUCAAGCUAUCAGAUGAGCCUAGGCCGUAUUAGCUAGUUGGUGGGGUAAAGACGUACCAAGGCAACGAUCCGUAGCCGACCUGAGAGGGUGAUCGGCCACACGGGAACUGAGACACGGUCCACACUCCUAAGGGAGGACGGAGUAGGGAAUCUUGCGAAAUGGGCGAAAGCAUGACCGCGCAACGCCGCGUGAGUGAUGAAGGUCUUCGGAUCGUAAAACUCUGUUAUUAGGGAAGAAGAUAUGUUUAUAUAACCGUGCAUAUUUUGACGUUACCUAAUAAGAAAGCCGCGGCUAACUCCGUG
rnacentral:rRNA from 1 species